UAGACCACCACCAUGAACGACACCAUAACUAUCCGCACUAGAAAGUUCAUGACCAACCGACUACUUCAGAGGAAACAAAUGGUCAUUGAUGUCCUUCACCCCGGGAAGGCAACAGUGCCUAAGACAGAAAUUCGGGAAAAACUAGCCAAAAUGUACAAGAUCACACCGAGAGUCAUCUUUGUAUUUGGAUUCAGAACUCAUUUUGGUGGUGGAAAGACAACUGGCUUUGGCAUGAUUUAUGACACCUGUAUUAUGCAAAGAAAAAUGAACCCAAACUUAGACUUGCAAGACAUGGCCUGUAUGAGAAGAAAAAGACCUCAAGAAAGCAAUGAAAGGAACACAAGAACAGAAUGAAGAAAGUCAGGGGGACUGCAAAAGCCAAUGUUGGUGCUUGCAAAAAACCGAAGGAGUAA